rnacentral:tRNA from 1 species
AUUUAUAUAGUUUAGAUAAAUAACAUUUCAUUUUCAAUGAAAAAACAGGAGUUAUCCUUGUAAAUA